GGGGGGAGAAAAAGAAAAGCCCUCUUACCAACCAAGGCACCAGAUGGCCUGCCAGGGUUUCUGAGCACCCAGUAGACCUUCUGAGGUGCUUCUCACAGAUGCUUCCAUACAACCAUCUCACAAAUUGCACCCCAAACUCAAGAUCUGCUUCUAGGCCAAAGGAUGAGGAAGCACAAGGAUCUAUCAUCGGAGAAAGAAAUACAGUGUGCACAGAAAGGGAUAUGCAUGGAUAAGAAUCUCAAUUCUUAUAUACUAGUUUGAACAUUCUAAAUAGUUUUUUUUCAGGUGCAAUGGUGAAUCCCCUAGGAUCACUGAGCUACUCAGAUAAACUGUUUGAAAGUGUUGAGACCUACCACCCAAUGGUUUAGUUUUCCCCUUCCAGUAAAACAAACAAAAACCCUAAAUUAUUCUGAGGAGAAAAAAAAAA